AGCUUUAGUAGUGUAUAAACAUAGUAAGUUGUAAACUUAAAGAUGCUGCGGCCUGAGCUA
rnacentral:tRNA from 1 species